UUGGAGGGCAAGUCUGGUGCCAGCAGCCGCGGUAAUUCCAGCUCCAAUAGCGUAUAUUAAAGUUGUUGCAGUUAAAAAGCUCGUAGUUGAAUUUCGGGAUCAAUUUAUUGGUCGUGCCAACGGUACGCACUGGUACAAUUGGUUUCCCCCUUCUGACGAAGCAUGAUGUCAUUAAUUUGAUGUCGUGGGGAAUCAGGACUGUUACUUUGAAAAAAUUAGAGUGUUUAAAGCAGGCUUUGGCUUGAAUACAUUAGCAUGGAAUAAUGAAAUAGGACGUUUGAUCUUAUUUCGUUGGUUUCUAAGAUCGACGUAAUGAUUAAUAGGGAUAGUUGGGGGCAUUAGUAUUCAAUUGUCAGAGGUGAAAUUCUUGGAUUUAUUGAAGACUAACUACUGCGAAAGCAUUUGCCAAGGAUGUUUUCAUUAAUCAAGAACGAAAGUUAGGGGAUCGAAGACGAUCAGAUACCGUCGUAGUCUUAACCAUAAACUAUGCCGACUAGGGAUCGGAUGAUGUUAAUUUUUUAAUGACUCAUUCGGCGCCUUACGGGAAAC
rnacentral:rRNA from 1 species